CCGACCUUAGCUCAGUUGGUAGAGUAUUGGAUGCAGAUAAAUCUUUAGGUCGCUGGUUCGAUUCCGGCAGGUCGGA
rnacentral:tRNA from 1 species